rnacentral:rRNA from 1 species
GGAAUUCGGCUUAGAGUUUGAUCCUGGCUCAGAUUGAACGCUGGCGGUAUGCUUAACACAUGCAAGUCGAACGGAAACGAUGGAAGCUUGCUUCCAGGCGUCGAGUGGCGGACGGGUGAGUAACGCGUAGGAAUCUGCCAGAUAGUGGGGGAUAGCCCGGAGAAAUCCGGAUUAAUACCGCAUAAUCUCCAUGGAGUAAAGAGGGCCUCUAUUUAUAAGCUUUCGCUAUCUGAUGAGCCUGCGUAAGAUUAGCUAGUUGGUGGGGUAAUGGCCUACCAAGGCGACGAUCUUUAGCUGGUCUGAGAGGAUGAUCAGCCACACUGGGACUGAGACACGGCCCAGACUCCUACGGGAGGCAGCAGUGGGGAAUAUUGGACAAUGGGGGCAACCCUGAUCCAGCAAUACCGCGUGUGUGAAGAAGGCCUGAGGGUUGUAAAGCACUUUCAAUUGUGAAGAAAAGUUAAUAGUUAAUACCUAUUAGUCUUGACGUUAACUUUAGAAGAAGCACCGGCUAACUCCGUGCCAGCAGCCGCGGUAAUACGGAGGGUGCAAGCGUUAAUCGGAAUUACUGGGCGUAAAGCGUGCGUAGGCGGUUGACUAAGUCAGAUGUGAAAGCCCCGGGCUUAACCUGGGAACUGCAUUUGAAACUGGUCAACUAGAGUAUGGUAGAGGAAAGUGGAAUUUCUGGUGUAGCGGUGAAAUGCGUAGAUAUCAGAAGGAACAUCGAUGG